rnacentral:rRNA from 1 species
AGACCCGAAACCCGGUGAUCUAGCCAUGGGCAGGUUGAAGGUUGGGUAACACUAACUGGAGGACCGAACCGACUAAUGUUGAAAAAUUAGCGGAUGACCUGUGGCUGGGGGUGAAAGGCCAAUCAAACCGGGAGAUAGCUGGUUCUCCCCGAAAGCUAUUUAGGUAGCGCCUCGUGAAUUCAUCUCCGGGGGUAGAGCACUGUUUCGGCUAGGGGGCCAUCCCGGCUUACCAACCCGAUGCAAACUGCGAAUACCGGAGAAUGUUAUCACGGGAGACACACGGCGGGUGCUAACGUCCGUCGUGAAGAGGGAAACAACCCAGACCGCCAGCUAAGGUCCCAAAGUCAUGGUUAAGUGGGAAACGAUGUGGGAAGGCCCAGACAGCCAGGAUGUUGGCUUAGAAGCAGCCAUCAUUUAAAGAAAGCGUAAUAGCUCACUGGUCGAGUCGGCCUGCGCGGAAGAUGUAACGGGGCUAAACCAUGCACCGAAGCUGCGGCAGCGACACUAUGUGUUGUUGGGUAGGGGAGCGUUCUGUAAGCCUGUGAAGGUGUGUC